UUCCUUCUGUGUGAUCCCUGCGUUUCAAGUUUUUUCGAGUUCCCUGCAGUUUGAGUAUUUUGAGUGUUUCGAGUUUACGUGCAUGUUUUCCCGUUUCCAGUCUUUCUAGUGUUUCAAGUUCCUCGGCAUGUUUUUCUGUUUCUAGUAUUCUUGAGUUUUUUGGAUUUUGCCCGUCGUGGCAUAAUUUUUGUUCCCUGUUUGAUGUAAAGCCUUUUGUUUAAACCUACCUUUUGAGCCUCCUGCGUUUACUCUGCACUUGGGUCCUAACCCGCCAAAACCCUGACACAGAGAGUAAAUAAAUUGACUCAACGGGUAGCAAGGGGUGCCAGAGCCGAUCCCAGCAGGCAUUGGGCAAGAGGUGGAGAGAAUGACGUCAUGGUCCCGUUGCGGAGAUCCUGGUCAGAAGAUGCACUGAAGAGGAGAUGCACGCUGUUGCCAGACAAUCUUGUUCAGGAGACGGACUCAAGUGGACAUCGCCUGGCUACCAGACUGAGGGGUGCCUGUUGUUGAGGAUGCAGAGGACCGUCGUGGAGCAGCAUUACUAAAAAGAUACAGUGCUUGGUAGAUCACCAGCUGUAGCCUGUGUUACUUCUCAGUUAUAGAAAAGGAUUUUGGAUAAGGUUGUAAAGUUGUAAAGAUAGUCAGUGAUUACCCCAAUUCCUACUUCAGAACAUCUUUGAGGGAUUUGAGGACAGACUUUGAAAGGAGGACCAUUUGCCACUCUGUCAUGGGUUGCAUCAAACCACUGGCUACCCUGCAACCUGGGGUAUAACACUGAGCUUGUAUCUAUGCUUUUAGCAACUUUAGGAUAUAUACAACUCCCUGU